CUUAGAGUUUGAUCCUGGCUCAGAUUGAACGCUGGCGGCAGGCCUAACACAUGCAAGUCGAACGGUAACAGGAAGCAGCUUGCUGCUUUGCUGACGAGUGGCGGACGGGUGAGUAAUGUCUGGGAAACUGCCUGAUGGAGGGGGAUAACUACUGGAAACGGUAGCUAAUACCGCAUAAUGUCGCAAGACCAAAGAGGGGGACCUUCGGGCCUCUUGCCAUCAGAUGUGCCCAGAUGGGAUUAGCUAGUAGGUGGGGUAACGGCUCACCUAGGCGACGAUCCCUAGCUGGUCUGAGAGGAUGACCAGCCACACUGGAACUGAGACACGGUCCAGACUCCUACGGGAGGCAGCAGUGGGGAAUAUUGCACAAUGGGCGCAAGCCUGAUGCAGCCAUGCCGCGUGUAUGAAGAAGGCCUUCGGGUUGUAAAGUACUUUCAGCGGGGAGGAAGGCGAUGUGGUUAAUAACCGCGUCGAUUGACGUUACCCGCAGAAGAAGCACCGGCUAACUCCGUGCCAGCAGCCGCGGUAAUACGGAGGGUGCAAGCGUUAAUCGGAAUUACUGGGCGUAAAGCGCACGCAGGCGGUCUGUCAAGUCGGAUGUGAAAUCCCCGGGCUCAACCUGGGAACUGCAUCCGAAACUGGCAGGCUUGAGUCUCGUAGAGGGGGGUAGAAUUCCAGGUGUAGCGGUGAAAUGCGUAGAGAUCUGGAGGAAUACCGGUGGCGAAGGCGGCCCCCUGGACGAAGACUGACGCUCAGGUGCGAAAGCGUGGGGAGCAAACAGGAUUAGAUACCCUGGUAGUCCACGCCGUAAACGAUGUCGACUUGGAGGUUGUGCCCUUGAGGCGUGGCUUCCGGAGCUAACGCGUUAAGUCGACCGCCUGGGGAGUACGGCCGCAAGGUUAAAACUCAAAUGAAUUGACGGGGGCCCGCACAAGCGGUGGAGCAUGUGGUUUAAUUCGAUGCAACGCGAAGAACCUUACCUGGUCUUGACAUCCACAGAACUUUCCAGAGAUGGAAAGGUGCCUUCGGGAACUGUGAGACAGGUGCUGCAUGGCUGUCGUCAGCUCGUGUUGUGAAAUGUUGGGUUAAGUCCCGCAACGAGCGCAACCCUUAUCCUUUGUUGCCAGCGGUCCGGCCGGGAACUCAAAGGAGACUGCCAGUGAUAAACUGGAGGAAGGUGGGGAUGACGUCAAGUCAUCAUGGCCCUUACGACCAGGGCUACACACGUGCUACAAUGGCGCAUACAAAGAGAAGCGAUCUCGCGAGAGCCAGCGGACCUCAUAAAGUGCGUCGUAGUCCGGAUUGGAGUCUGCAACUCGACUCCAUGAAGUCGGAAUCGCUAGUAAUCGUGAAUCAGAAUGUCACGGUGAAUACGUUCCCGGGCCUUGUACACACCGCCCGUCACACCAUGGGAGUGGGUUGCAAAAGAAGUAGGUAGCUUAACCUUCGGGAGGGCGCUUACCACUUUGUGAUUCAUGACUGGGGUGAAGUCGUAACAAGGUAACC
rnacentral:rRNA from 1 species